UACGUAGGCAGCGAGCGUUGUUCGGAGUUACUGGGCGUAAAGCGUGCGUAGGCGGUGUCUUAAGUUUGUUGUGAAAUCUCCCGGCUUAACCGGGAGGGUGCGGCGAAUACUGAGAUGCUGGAGUGCCGGAGAGGUAAGCGGAAUUCCUGGUGUAGCGGUGAAAUUCGUAGAUAUCGGGAGGAACACCAGUGGCGAAGGCGGCGACCUGGACGGACACUGACGCUGAGACGCGAAAGCUAGGGGAGCAAACAGG
rnacentral:rRNA from 1 species